UGCCAGCAGCCGCGGUAAGACGAACCGUCCAAACGUUAUUCGGAAUUACUGGGCUUAAAGGGUGCGUAGGCGGUCUGGAAAGUUGGGUGUGAAAUCCCUCGGCUCAACCGAGGAAUUGCGCUCAAAACCCCCAAGCUUGAGGAAGGCAGAGGUGAGCGGAACUGAUGGUGGAGCGGUGAAAUGCGUUGAUAUCAUCAGGAACACCGGUGGCGAAGGCGGCUCACUGGGCCUUUUCUGACGCUGAGGCACGAAAGCUAGGGUAGCGAACAGGAUUAGAUA
rnacentral:rRNA from 1 species